UUUAGAUGCAGUUAUGGUUUUAAUGUCUAAUGUUUAACCGUCCGUUUUAUUUUUAAAAAAUAUGACUCAUAUUUUUAUUGUUAUUAGAUAAUAAAACAUAAAUAGUACUUUAUAUGUGACUUAUUUUUAAUUUUAUAAGUUUUUCAAAUAAGAUGAAUGGUCAAACGUUACGCAUGAAAAUACAUGACUGCACUUAAA
rfam:Oryza sativa (indica cultivar-group) chromosome 5, whole genome shotgun sequence.